ACGCUGGCGGCAUGCUUUACACAUGCAAGUCGAACGGCAGCACGGACUUCGGUCUGGUGGCGAGUGGCUGAACGGGUGAGUAAUACAUCGGAACGUGCCCAGUUGUGGGGGAUAACUACUCGAAAGAGUAGCUAAUACCGNAUGAGAACUGAGGUUGAAAGCAGGGGAUCGUAAGACCUUGCGCAACUGGAGCGGCCGAUGGCAGAUUAGGUAGUUGGUGGGAUAAAAGCUUACCAAGCCGACGAUCUGUAGCUGGUCUGAGAGGACGACCAGCCACACUGGGACUGANACACGGCCCAGACUCCUACGGGAGGCANCAGUGGGGAAUUUUGGACAAUGGGCGAAAGCCUGAUCCAGCAAUGCCGCGUGCAGGAUGAAGGCCUUCGGGUUGUAAACUGCUUUUGUACGGAACGAAAAGCUUCGGGUUUAAUUACCCUGGAGUCAUGACGGUACCGUAAGAAUAAGCACCGGCUAACUACGUGCCA
rnacentral:rRNA from 1 species